UACGUAGGGUGCGAGCGUUGUCCGGAAUUACUGGGCGUAAAGCGUGCGCAGGCGGUUCGUUAAGUCAGCUGUGAAAGCCCCGGGCUCAACCUGGGAAUGGCGGUUGAAACUGGCGAACUUGAAUCUGGCAGAGGGGGGUGGAAUUCCACGUGUAGCAGUGAAAUGCGUAGAGAUGUGGAGGAACACCGAUGGCGAAGGCAGCCCCCUGGGCUGAGAUUGACGCUCAGGCACGAAAGCGUGGGGAGCAAACAGG
rnacentral:rRNA from 1 species